UACGUAGGGCGCAAGCGUUGUCCGGAUUUAUUGGGCGUAAAGAGCUCGUAGGCGGCUUGUCGCGUCGUUCGUGAAAACCCGGGGCUCAACCCCGGGCCUGCAGUGGGUACGGGCAGACUAGAGUGCGGUAGGGGAGACUGGAAUUCCUGGUGUAGCGGUGAAAUGCGCAGAUAUCAGGAGGAACACCGGUGGCGAAGGCGGGUCUCUGGGCCGUAACUGACGCUGAGGAGCGAAAGCGUGGGGAGCGAACAGG
rnacentral:rRNA from 1 species